UUUCUACUCCGUCCGUUCCGAAUUACUUGUCGCACGUAUGGAUGUAUCUAGAUGUAUUUUAGUUCUAGAUACAUCCAUUUCAGCGACGAGUAAUUUGGAACGGAGGGAGUAGAUG
rnacentral:pre_miRNA from 1 species